CUUCUUUUGUGAGAGUGGUUUGGAUUCAUAGAUAAAGCCUUUGGGGAAUUGCAUUUGUGGUCGAUAGCUCAAACGGAGUUUUUGGAAAAGAUGGUGAACACAGAGCAAGGAUCUAUACAUGUACCAUCGUCAAUUUCAACAUCGCUUAUUUGUCUCAUCUUGGGUAUGAAGACAGGCAUGUUAAUUUUUUCUAUGUUUGUUCGA
rnacentral:lncRNA from 1 species